UCUGUUCUCUUUUGGCCUCAAAACCCUAGCUUCCCUCAGCUUAAACCCUUACUUACUGUCAAAAUCAAAAGCAGGUGUUUUGGAUUGAAGAAGAAACAACAGCCUUUGAUACUAAAAUUAGUGCUACAAUAUGGAAUCAUCGCAAGCUCGGGUUUUUACAAAGCUGAUGAAGAUUUUAACUUUGAAGCCGCAUCACCCCAUUUUAGGAUCACCGCCUUCACUUUCUCUUCUGCAAACGCGCCUUUUCAGUGAUAUGAGAGGACCCUUCAGAGACAACGACCCUAUCAGUUUUAACAGCAAUGGAGAUGGUGACAAGCCUCCAGAGCCUAUUCCCAACAGACCCUUAGAAGGUCAAAGGCCUUUCAAUCCCUCUUUUAGAGAAACCAAAGGAGCCACCCUGAAUAGUAAUGGUUCCUCUUUUCAAUCUUUCAAUACCAAAUUUGCUUCUGAUCCUAACAGGAAGAGAGAGGAUUCUCAAUCUGAUGAAAAUUUCCUGGAAAAAUUCAAGCUUGGGCUUGACAACAAGAGAGGAAAACAGCCCUCAGAUUCAGAAGCUGCAGCCCUGUUACGUAGAAAAGAGCAAGAAGAAAAGCCUUCCCCGCCACAGGAUGCUGAUGAGAUCUUCAAGAAAAUGAAGGAGACUGGUCUUAUCCCCAAUGCCGUAGCCAUGCUUGAUGGGCUCUGUAAAGAUGGUCUUAUCCAAGAAGCAAUGAAGCUUUUCGGAUCAAUGCGGGAGAAAGGUACAAUCCCAGAAGUUGUUAUAUACACAGCUGUUGUUGAUGGCUUCUGCAAAGCCCAUAAGCUUGAUGAUGCAAAGAGAAUUUUCAGGAAGAUGCAGUCUAAAGGUGUAACUCCUAAUUCCUUUAGUUAUAUUGUAUUGAUUCAAGGAUUGUAUAGAUGUAACAAAUUGGAUGAUGCCAUUGAGUUUUGCUUGGAGAUGCUUGAAGCGGGACAUUCCCCUAAUGUGACCACAUUUGUGGGCUUGGUUGAUGGAUUGUGUAAGGAGAAGGGUGUGGAAGAAGCACAGAGUGUUAUUGGAACUUUAAAACAAAAGGGAUUUGUCCUUAAUGAUAAAGCUGUUAGACAAUUUCUGGACAAGAAGGCACCUUUUUCACCUUUGGUUUGGGAAGCAAUAUUUGGGAAGAAACCCUCUCAGAAAACAUUUUAAACUUUUUUUUCCUUACUGUUAGGCUCACAACUUUUAAUGAUGCCUUAAAAUGCAAGAAGGAAACAAAAGGAAAGGAGGAAAGGUGAAAAUCAUCAUAAUUUGUUUGAUUUUUGGCUACUUUUGCUUUUAGUACAGAACAACUGUUGACAAAGAUGGAACCAACUCUCCAGUUCUAGAAAAGCAAAAUGUGCAAUCGCACAAUUUGUCAAAUUCACUUCAAUUGAAAACGUACAUGCAUUCUUGCACUUCGCAUCAGCUGAUCCAGUGCAAAUAGCUACAAGUCUACAACAAUGUUAAAGAUUUUGUGGGUAGAAUGACAAAAACGAGGGCAAUGGUAGAGGUAGCCGUGGCCAGGGGAUGAUGGCUUAGCUAUUAGCAAAUCUAAACAAUAAGAAGUAAAGAUUCAACAGAGGAGCACGACAAGGCCUUUCUGGGGGUGGAAGUAAUCCCUUGGAAGAAAGGAGAUGGUCAAACAAGUUGAUGUGGAUUAGUGACAGUAGUGGGUCCGGUCAAGUAGAGAAAGCAAAGGAAGUAGUGGAGGCAUUGAUUAAAGCAUUAGCAGGCAUCAGUGGCGGUGGGGAAUCUCUCAGGAGUGAAAAGCCUUAGCAUUUCGGUGCAUCUUGGAAGAUCCCCAGCUUGAAGGUCUAAUUGCUGUGAAAUCCCCCUGCCUUGAUGGCACCUACUGUCAAGAACCAAGAUGCAACCACUGCCGGUUGAAUGCUUUAAUCAGCAAGGUCAUCAUCCAAAUCUAUGUUGCAGGAUGAGAGUUUGACAACCUUCAAAGAUAAAUGGAUCUCAUCGCAUCAGAAGUCGGUUAGUAACAGAAAAAAUGGUCGAAUAUAUACUCCCCGGUAUGUCCUGCGCUGGUUGUGCACAGCACGUGGUCAGGCAUUGUUUAUUUUGAAGAGGGUUUCAAGUGAAAGAAGAUACGUCUCCUCUUGAAGAGAAGAAUAGCAUAUUUAAUCAAUUCACAAGGUACCCCAAAGGUUAAAUGCUAAGCGCAACUCACCAAUAGGUUUUCUCAAUGCCCUAUAAGAUCUUUGUGAUUUGGUCGGUCUUAUUUAUUUCCUCGUAAUAGAAAGAUUGUCAAACCUAGGCUGGAGAGGAUUACAACCAACUUAUCUGUGGGUGUUCCCUGUUUUGGUUGUCCCCAUAAUAAGUUGACCAUUAAAUUGAUAAUAUUCAUGUUGUGGUUUUGAUAAGCA